CUCGCCAUUGAUACUCUCUCUCUCUCUCUCUCUGUGUGCAGAGAGAGACUCCACAGUUUCGUUCUCUCUUCAUACACUGUUUUUCUUAGCGAUUUUCCUCUGUUUCUCAAACCCUCUCUGACUCUCCAUCUUUAGCUUCAAAAUUAUGGAUACCCACUUCCCAAAACUGACAAUCACAGAAUCGAAACCCAAGAACGCAUACGAAGAGAGCCUCCCGUCGCCGCCGAGGAGAGGGCGGAUCCAACGUGAAAUUUUCAGAGGGCUGGCGGUCACAAUCAGGUACCUGUUGGGUGGGUUUGGACGAAAUCAGCCCGAAAGUGGAGGCUUUCUCAACUCAAAUUCCACAAUCACAGAAUCGAAACCCAAGAACACAUACGAAGAGAGCCUCCCGUCGCUGCCGAGGAGAGGGCGGAUCAAACGUGAAAUUUUCAGAGGGCUGGCGGUCACAAUCGGGUACCUGUUGGGUGGGUUUGGACGAAAUCAGCCCUGAAGUGGAGGCUUUCUCAACUCAAAUUCCACAACCCACCUGAUUCUUGAUCACUAAGGUCCAGGCAUACAAGAAGCCCAACUUCUGAAGCUGUGAUUUCCGGUUGGCCACAAGACAGCCAUGUCACUUGCUACACAGCAUAAAAAAUUUGAUAAAUUUGGAUCUAUCUUGGUGCCGGAAUUUAACAGGAGAGAAUUUGGGUUUGAUUGUGGAUGGUUGUUUAUCACUGAGGGUGAGCUUUUGGAUGCACUCAGAUAACAAACAUUUUUGUGGAUGGUCACUCAAAUCCAAACCUACAAAUCACUGGUUUGAAACUGUCUUCAAUAUUGGAAAAUCUCAAGGUGAUCCUCAAUAGCUGUUGAAAUAUUCCCCAAUGUCUCUUACUAUAUGGUCUUAAUUUUGCAUCAUCAGAUGCGUGAGAUUGGCAUCCUGUGGCAAUGCAUUUGCUCUUGUAAAUUGAUUGCAGUAUCAUACUGUAUGUAUGUAGUCAAAUUGAAGUGGAAAGAUUUGCAUUAGAAUCACAUUUUUGUUUA